rnacentral:rRNA from 1 species
UACGUAGGGGGCAAGCGUUGUCCGGAAUCAUUGGGCGUAAAGCGCGUGUAGGCGGCUUGGUAAGUCUGCUCUGAAAGCCCGGGGCUCAACUCCGGGCCUGCAGCCGAUACGGGCAGACUAGAGUUCGGCAGGGGAGACUGGAAUUCCUGGUGUAGCGGUGAAAUGCGCAGAUAUCAGGAGGAACACCGGUGGCGAAGGCGGGUCUCUGGGCCGAUACUGACGCUGAGGAGCGAAAGCGUGGGGAGCGAACAGG